rnacentral:rRNA from 1 species
UUGGCCAUAGGCAACCGUUACGCCCUGCGGUGCGAAGGCCUCGAGUAUCGCUGUCAAGGAAGAAGUCGCUAUCCUGAUCUAGCGUACCUGAGGAAUAAGCCCGCCUAAUACGUCAGGCAGCGCGGGUAUACGUAGGGGUGCAGCCUAUCGGACUACUGGGCGUAAGCGUGCGCAGGCGGUUAUGCAGACAGAGGUGAAUCCCGGCUCACCUGGGAACUGCUUUGUGACUGCAUGGCUAGAGUACGGUAGAGGGGGAUGGAAUUCCGCGUGUAGCAGUGAAAUGCGUAGAUAUGCGGAGGAGACCGAUGGCGAAGGCAAUCCCCUGGACCUGUACUGACGCUCAUGCACGAAAGCGUGGGGAGCAAACAGGAUUAGAUACCUGGUAGUGCACGCCCUAAACGAUGUCAACUGGUUGUUGGGAGGGUUUCUUCUCAGUAACGUAGCUAACGCGUGAAGUUGACCGCCUGGGGAGUACGGCCGCAAGGUUGAAACUCAAAGGAAUUGACGGGGACCCGCACAAGCGGUGGAUGAUGUGGUUUAAUUCGAUGCAACGCGAAAAACCUUACCUACCCUUGACAUGUCUGGAAUCCUGAAGAGAUUUGGGAGUGCUCGAAAGAGAGCCAGAACACAGGUGCUGCAUGGCCGUCGUCAGCUCGUGUCGUGAGAUGUUGGGUUAAGUCCCGCAACGAGCGCAACCCUUGUCAUUAGUUGCUACGAAAGGGCACUCUAAUGAGACUGCCGGUGACAAACCGGAGGAAGGUGGGGAUGACGUCAGGUCAUCAUGGCCCUUAUGGGUAGGGCUACACACGUCAUACAAUGGCCGGGACAGAGGGCUGCCAACCCGCGAGGGGGAGCUAAUCCCAGAAACCCGGUCGUAGUCCGGAUCGUAGUCUGCAACUCGACUGCGUGAAGUCGGAAUCGCUAGUAAUCGCGGAUCAGCUUGCCGCGGUGAAUACGUUCCCGGGUCUUGUACACACCGCCCGUCACACCAUGGGAGCGGGUUCUGCCAGAAGUAGUUAGCCUAACCGCAAGGGGGGCGAUUACCACGGCAGGGUUCGUGACUGGGGUGAAGUCGUAACAAGG